UCAAACUUGGUCAUUUAGAGGAAGUAAAAGUCGUAACAAGGUUUCCGUAGGUGAACCUGCGGAAGGAUCAUUACAAGAGUGAUGCCCCCCUCCGGGGGGGUUAGACCUCCAAACCCCAUGUGUAUUAUUCUUUUGUUGCUUUGGCGGGUCGUAAGGCUCUUUUUUGCCUUCCACUGGCCCCUAAGGCUGGUGCGUACCCGUCAGGAAACUUUUUUAAAAACUCUUUGAAUAAUUUUUUAUUGUCUGAAGUUUUUAUUUACAAAUAAACAAAAAACUUUCAACAACGGAUCUCUUGGUUCUGGCAUCGAUGAAGAACGCAGC
rnacentral:misc_RNA from 1 species